UGGGGAAUAUUGCACAAUGGGCGCAAGCCUGAUGCAGCCAUGCCGCGUGUGUGAAGAAGGCCUUCGGGUUGUAAAGCACUUUCAGCGAGGAGGAAGGUGGUGAGCUUAAUACGCUCAUCAAUUGACGUUACUCGCAGAAGAAGCACCGGCUAACUCCGUGCCAGCAGCCGCGGUAAUACGGAGGGUGCAAGCGUUAAUCGGAAUUACUGGGCGUAAAGCGCACGCAGGCGGUUUGUUAAGUCAGAUGUGAAAUCCCCGGGCUCAACCUGGGAACUGCAUUUGAAACUGGCAAGCUAGAGUCUCGUAGAGGGGGUAGAAUUCCAGGUGUAGCGGUGAAAUGCGUAGAGAUCUGGAGGAAUACCGGUGGCGAAGGCGGCCCCCUGGACGAAGACUGACGCUCAGGUGCGAAAGCGUGGGGCAGCAAACAGGAUUAGAUACCCUGGUAGUCCACGCUGUAAACGAUGUCGAUUUGGAGGUUGUGCCCUUGAGGCGUGGCUUCCGGAGCUAACGCGUUAAAUCGACCGCCUGGGGAGUACGGCCGCAAGGUUAAAACUUAAAUGAAUUGACGGGGUC
rnacentral:rRNA from 1 species